rnacentral:rRNA from 1 species
GACGAGCCUCACAAACGUUAUUCGGAAUUACUGGGCUUAAAGCGUGCGUAGGCGGUUCGUUAAGUCUGUUGUGAAAGCCCCGGGCUCAACCUGGGAAUGGCAAUGGAUACUGGCGAGCUAGAGUGUGUCAGAGGAUGGUGGAAUUCCCGGUGUAGCGGUGAAAUGCGUAGAGAUCGGGAGGAACAUCAGUGGCGAAGGCGGCCAUCUGGGACAACACUGACGCUGAGGCGACGAAAGCGUGGGGGAGCAAACAGGG